GUAAAGAAUAAGAAUCCAUCUAUGGCCGCCUCAUACAUGCAUGGCUGCGACGUCUCCCUCCUAUGCUCCCCUCGCCCGCAUGGUUGUUUCCCGUAGCGUGUACGCGAUCAAGACCACUCCUGUAUUGGUGUAGAUCAAGUUAUAAAAUCUUGGGCCAAAACACGCUCAAAAGGCCCAAACUCCUUUAUCCGUAGUAUAAAAAUAAAGGUAAAAAAACGCGAUCUCUCCCCAAACUCUAUCUUCCUCAUGUACGCAGCCGCCGCCGGCUUCUAUCAAAGUUGGCUAUAGGGCGCCAGCUGCUACCAGGAGGUUCUACACGUGUAUGUUCAAGUCGAGCUCUGCACACAAUCGCGUCCGAAGGAUUCAUCGCCAUUCAAAGGAUGAAGCUCAAGACCAGUACGAUCAAGAAUCUGUUGCCAUCAAUUAUGUCUCAUGUGCAUGUGCUAGCUGCUUGAAGAAAUUCAUCUAUGUCCUGAACGGCGUAUACUGUACUGACACACCUAUCGAGAAUCAAUCAACCUGCUUGGGAAGUCAGCUUGGCUAUGUGUACAUAACGUGCAUGUGUGUUGGCGCCAUAUUUUCCCUGUGGAUACUAAGAUGCAUGGCACCACUGUCGAGUUCAAUGAUGACAUCGUCUAUGUCUAUCAAUGUGAUUGGCAAUCACCAGAGGUACUCACCCCUAAUAGAUGAACUGUUCCGUCCUGUAGCUAUGUCUGAAUGAAACGGAUCAUGUAUAGCAUGCAUCACUUUUGUUUCUGUUGGUGUACUAUAUAUCAAAACGGUCGACGACAUGUUUGUGUCCGUGAUGUGCCAUCACAGCACUAUCCAGUACAUAGUUGUUGUAGUGGUAAGACAGAGUCAA